UGAAAGUUUAGAUGCCAAUCACCAUAUAAGUUCAAAGAUGAAAAGCCUGGAAGGAGGAGAAAUGACUAGAAUUGAUUCGGUUGACCAUUUUAUGUGUGGAUUAAUUGUCGGAGUAGAGGACCUUGUGCAUUUCAGAGCAAAUGGCAGCAUCAGAGAGCAAAAGGACAGUCCUACGUGGAAGCAGGGGCCCAGUGGAGGCCAAGCAGUGGACCCAAUCCAAAUAGCACAGUUGACCAGGUCACAGGAGAGGCCGUGGAGAGGACUCCCAUGGGGCUGUGCCACAGG
rnacentral:lncRNA from 1 species